AGUGGGGAAUAUUGGACAAUGGGCGAAAGCCUGAUCCAGCAAUGCCGCGUGAGUGAUGAAGGCCUUAGGGUUGUAAAGCUCUUUUACCCGGGAAGAUAAUGACUGUACCGGGAGAAUAAGCCCCGGCUAACUCCGUGCCAGCAGCCGCGGUAAUACGGAGGGGGCUAGCGUUGUUCGGAAUUACUGGGCGUAAAGCGCACGUAGGCGGCUUUGUAAGUUAGAGGUGAAAGCCUGGGGCUCAACUCCAGAACUGCCUUUAAGACUGCAUCGCUUGAACACGGGAGAGGUGAGUGGAAUUCCGAGUGUAGAGGUGAAAUUCGUAGAUAUUCGGAAGAACACCAGUGGCGAAGGCGGCUCACUGGACCGUUGUUGACGCUGAGGUGCGAAAGCGUGGGGAGCAAA
rnacentral:rRNA from 1 species